GUGCUCGCUCGGCAGCACAUAUACUAAAAUUGGAACGAUACAGAGAAGAUUAACAUGGCCCCUGCGCAAGAAAAAAAAAGAUUUUAUAAAAGUAAGCUAUAAUUAA